rnacentral:rRNA from 1 species
CCUACGGGUGACAGCAGUGAGGAAUAUUGGUCAAUGGGCGGGAUACUGAACCAACCAUGCCGCGUGCAGGACGACGGUACUGCGUAUCGUAAACUGCUUUUGUACCGGAACAAAGUGCUGUACGUGUCGCCGGUUGAAAGUACGGUAAGAAAAAGCAUCGGCUAACUCCGUGCCAGCAGCCGCGGUAAUACGGAGGAUCCGAGCGUUAUCCGGAUUCAUUGGGUUUAAAGGGUGCGUAGGUUGUUUGAUAAGUUAGCGGUGAAAUACCGAGGCUCAACCUCGGGGCUGCCGCUGAAACUGUAGGACUAGAGAUCGAGUGCAGCAGGCGGAAUGUGUGGUGUAGCGGUGAAAUGCAUAGAUAUUACGCAGAACACCGAUUGCGAAGGCAGCUUGCUAGGUCGGAUCUGACGCUGAGGCACGAAAGCGUGGGGAUCGAACAGGAUUAGAUACCCGUGUAGUC